rnacentral:rRNA from 1 species
AUUGAACGCUGGCGGCAGGCCUAACACAUGCAAGUCGAACGGUAACAGGAAGAAGCUUGCUUCUUUGCUGACGAGUGGCGGACGGGUGAGUAAUGUCUGGGAAACUGCCUGAUGGAGGGGGAUAACUACUGGAAACGGUAGCUAAUACCGCAUAACGUCGCAAGACCAAAGAGGGGGACCUUCGGGCCUCUUGCCAUCUGAUGUGCCCAGAUGGGAUUAGCUAGUAGGUGGGGUAACGGCUCACCUAGGCGACGAUCCCUAGCUGGUCUGAGAGGAUGACCAGCCACACUGGAACUGAGACACGGUCCAGACUCCUACGGGAGGCAGCAGUGGGGAAUAUUGCACAAUGGGCGCAAGCCUGAUGCAGCCAUGCCGCGUGUAUGAAGAAGGCCUUCGGGUUGUAAAGUACUUUCAGCGGGGAGGAAGGGAGUAAAGUUAAUACCUUUACUCAUUGACGUUACCCGCAGAAGAAGCACCGGCUAACUCCGUG